rnacentral:lncRNA from 1 species
AGGCAUCACAGUGUGCAGUGGGUAACAUGAUCGCCUCACUGCAAGAAGCUCACUGGUUCGAGCCUCAGCUGGGUCAGUUGGCAUUUCUGUGUGGAGUUUGCAUGUUAGCAUGGGUUUCCUCCAGGUGCUCCGGUUUCCCCCACAGUCCAAAGACAUGCUGUAUAGGAACCAGAUGAUUCCAAUGGCAAUUCCAGUUCUUUUUGGCGUGGCGAUGGUGCAGUGUCUCAGAGGGAGGCAGAUUGCCACGUACCGCUCCAGAGACAUCAGUGUUAAAGUCAGAGGAGGGUUAUUGAAUGCAAAGGUUGAGAUGAAGACUAAAAGAGUGCACCGGUUCUGGUUACUUGAAGGUAAAAUUAUGCUGUUAAAAUGCAUACAUGUAGUUGUUAGCAACAUAAGUACAUUCAUGAGUAUAGAACCAAAAAGGAUACACUGCAGUGUCUCAUAAAAUAUGUGUUUGCUUUUUAGAGCAAACAUAAUCACUGCAAUUUUAGUGUUGAUUCAGCAUCCAUGUCCACCUUGAAUAAAUUAAAGACACAUUCUGAGCUGUCUAUUAGAGCCCAGCCAAAAGCUGAUGGAAAAGGAACAGAGAAAUAGUACUGAAGAGCCUAAAUUUUAAAUCAAGCAGUAAAUUUGAGUGGGAUCAUUACACAGAGAUAGAAGAUCAUUCUAAAAUGCAACAUCACACACAA